AUUGAACGCUGGCGGCAGGCCUAACACAUGCAAGUCGAACGAGCGGCGGACGGGUGAGUAAUGUCUGGGAAUCUGCCCGAUGGAGGGGGAUAACUACUGGAAACGGUAGCUAAUACCGCAUACUAUCAGAUGCCCCCAGAUGGGAUUAGCUUGUGGGUGGGGUAACGGCUCACCAAGGCGACGAUCCCUAGCUGGUCUGAGAGGAUGAUCAGCCACGCGGGGACUGAGACACGGUCCAGACUCCUACGGGAGGCAGCAGUGGGGAAUAUUGCACAACGGGCGCAAGCCUGAUGCAGCCAUGCCGCGUGGAUGAAGAAGGCCUUAGGGUUGUAAAGUACUUUCAGCGGGGAGGCGUUACCCGCAGAAGAAGCACCGGCUAACUCCGUGCCAGCAGCCGCGGUAAUAC
rnacentral:rRNA from 1 species